UCCCUAGUGGCUCAAUCUGUAAAGAAUCUGCCUGCAAUGCAGGAGAGCCGGGUUCCAUCUCUGGUUGGGGAA
rnacentral:tRNA from 1 species